rnacentral:sRNA from 1 species
UUUCGGCGAAUAAUCGCUUUCAGAUGG